rnacentral:rRNA from 1 species
GGCGGCGUGCCUAUACAUGCAAGUCGAGCGAACUGAUUAGAAGCUUGCUUCUAUGACGUUAGCGGCGGACGGGUGAGUAACACGUGGGCAACCUGCCUGUAAGACUGGGAUAACUUCGGGAAACCGAAGCUAAUACCGGAUAGGAUCUUCUCCUUCAUGGGAGAUGAUUGAAAGAUGGUUUCGGCUAUCACUUACAGAUGGGCCCGCGGUGCAUUAGCUAGUUGGUGAGGUAACGGCUCACCAAGGCCACGAUGCAUAGCCGACCUGAGAGGGUGAUCGGCCACACUGGGACUGAGACACGGCCCAGACUCCUACGGGAGGCAGCAGUAGGGAAUCUUCCGCAAUGGACGAAAGUCUGACGGAGCAACGCCGCGUGAGUGAUGAAGGCUUUCGGGUCGUAAAACUCUGUUGUUAGGGAAGAACAAGUACAAGAGUAACUGCUUGUACCUUGACGGUACCUAACCAGAAAGCCACGGCUAACUACGUGCCAGCAGCCGCGGUAAUACGUAGGUGGCAAGCGUUAUCCGGAAUUAUUGGGCGUAAAGCGCGCGCAGGCGGUUUCUUAAGUCUGAUGUGAAAGCCCACGGCUCAACCGUGGAGGGUCAUUGGAAACUGGGGAACUUGAGUGCAGAAGAGAAAAGCGGAAUUCCACGUGUAGCGGUGAAAUGCGUAGAGAUGUGGAG